UUCUCCUUAGCUCAGUUGGCUAGAGCGUUCGACUGUUAUCUUUCACCACGAGAAAAGCACAUCGAGAGGUCCACAGUUCAAGCCUGUGAGGGGAAG